GCGAGUGGAGCACCUCUAUUGCAACAGGCCGCUGUCGCCGGACCUCCCCAACCAUCUUCUUGCAAUAAGUUCUUUGAUAGAGGACAUUGAGAAAAGGAGGCUAAGGAAAAAGAAAGAAAAGAACAAGAAUAGAAAUGGCUCGAGAAUAGAAGAAAGAUAAUAGGGGUGACGAUGAAGGAGCAUUCUCAGUGGCUGGAGAAGCAUCCUGAAAUGCAGAGAAACAUGGCAAAGAGGAUGGAGCAGAAGAGAGUAAGAAGGGAAUGGGAAAUGAAGAUGGCAAAAAAGAAGGUACUUGAAAGGUUCUCUUUCCUCUCUCCGAAGAAGCUGGAUCAGCUACCGGAUCUCCCCAAACCGGUUCUUGUAAUAAACUCUAUCGUAAGGGAGGCAGUGGAAAAACAAAAAGAAGAAGAAAAGGAAAAGGAAAAAUAAAAAGAGAUAGAGCAACCACUCUGUUAUAAAAAAGUCAUUUUUAUACGUUAUAAAAAGUUAUAUUUUUGUAUGUUAUAAAAAGUUAUUUUUUCACUAGUGAAGAAUGAGAAGAAAACAUUAUUUUAGAGAGAUA
rnacentral:lncRNA from 1 species